GACCACAGGCUGUUGAAAUACUAGUUCCUGUAUGAUCACUGUAGUUAAGCAAUGUCAAGCCUGGUCAGUACCUAGAUGGGUAACCUCUUGGGAAUACCAAGUGCUGUAU